GAUGAACGCUGGCGGCGUGCCUAAUACAUGCAAGUCGAGCGAACGGACGAGAAGCUUGCUUCUCUGAUGUUAGCGGCGGACGGGUGAGUAACACGUGGAUAACCUACCUAUAAGACUGGGAUAACUUCGGGAAACCGGAGCUAAUACCGGAUAAUAUUUUGAACCGCAUGGUUCAAAAGUAAAAGACGGUCUUGCUGUCACUUAUAGAUGGAUCCGCGCUGCAUUAGCUAGUUGGUAAGGUAACGGCUUACCAAGGCAACGAUGCAUAGCCGACCUGAGAGGGUGAUCGGCCACACUGGAACUGAGGCACGGUCCAGACUCCUACGGGAGGCAGCAGUAGGGAAUCUUCCGCAAUGGGCGAACGCCUGACGGAGCAACGCCGCGUGAGUGAUGAAGGUCUUCGGAUCGGAAAACUCUGUUAUUAGGGAAGAACAUAUGUGUAAGUAACUGUGCACAUCUUGACGGUACCUAAACAGAAAGCCACGGCUAACUACGUG
rnacentral:rRNA from 1 species